AUACUUACCUGUCAAGGGAGAUACUAUGAUCACAAAGGUGGUUUUCCCAGGGUGAGGCUCAUUCAUUGCACUGUGGGUGUGCUGAUCCCUACGAUUUCUCCUAAAUGCGGGUAACUUGACUGCAUAAUUUGUGAUAGUGGGGGGCUGUGUUUGCGCUCUUCCUUG